AUGGGGGCGGGGAACAGGCCCCGGGCCAGGCCGCGGCGCCCCUCACACACGCACACACACACCGACACACACACACCGGGGUCACCAGGCGCAGGCGCCGCCCCCUCACUGCCCCGCCAUCUUCUCCGUGCCACAGGCACCAGUCCCUCUGCCUUCUCCUCAGAACACGACGAGGACAGCCGCCACCGCCUUCCGCUUCUGCAGCUACAGCUUCUGCUCGGCCGCCGCCGCGGUCACCAGCACACACCGCCAGGCCCCGCCGCCGCCCAGCGCACACACACACAGCAAGGCCCGGCCGCAAGCCCCUCCCCCCAACACACCACAGCCACCGCCACUUCUGGACUUCACACGCCGCCCCGACUCUGUCUGUCCCGGGCCGCGGCAGCCCCAACAGAUCUCACAGGCUUAAAGGCGUCUCAGGCCCUGCCGGCAACAGCGACCGUUACCCCAACGGGCAAAGCCACGGUCAUCCCCGAGACUCCCCCGCCGCCGUCGUCGCUACCGCCCACACGCAUGCGCAGUCUGUACCCUUCCCCCACCCCCCCCUUCCCCCGUCCCUUCCCUUCCCUUUUCGCCUGCUUCUCCUCUAGGCGCCCCCGCCUCCUCUUUCUCUCUCCCUCCUCCCCCCUCCACCUCUCAGCCCCGGACCCAGCGCAUGCGGGCUGUCCACCUCCCACCGCCGCCUGUCGCCCGCGCGUGCGCCAUGGACUUCUACCCAAAGAACAGGAUAAACAGACAAGCGCGUUCACGCGCUCCACCUUACCGCUCCACUUCCCCCACCCCUCCUCCCCUUCUCAAAAAAAACUCGCCACUUUCUGCGCAUGCUCGACUGUGCCAAUGAGUUUCCUCGAGUCUCCGGUCACGACUGCCAGCAGGCGCAUGCUCGCUCUCUACCCUCCCCCCUCAACUCCUCCCACCCCCCCAUUUGCCGCCCCCUCCUCUCUGAGGCUGAGGAAGGGGAGGGGGCGGAGAAGGGGCGAAGUGAUCCUCCCCCAAACCAAAGCACUGGGAGCGGCCUUCCGCAUAGCUUCACCUCGCGUUCUCCCCCACCCACACCCCCUCGAGUACCGCAUGCUCUCGCCGCCCUUGCCCCGGAGAGGGAAGAGUGCGCCUUUCUCCCCAGGCCCGGCCUUUCCCCGCAGCUGA
rnacentral:lncRNA from 1 species